GACGACGCUGGCGGCGUGGAUUAGGCAUGCAAGUCGAACGGUAUCAUCCUUUCGGGGGUGAGAGAGUGGCGAACUGGUGAGUAACACGUAGGUUAUCUACCCUCAAGACGGGGACAACCCAGGGAAACUUGGGCUAAUACCGGAUGUGAGCAACUUUUAGUUGUUUGAAAGGUGGCGUAAGCUGUCGCUUGGGGAUGAGCCAGCGUCCUAUUAGUUAGUUGGUGAGGUAACGGCUCACCUAGGCAAUGAUAGGUAGGCGGCCUUAACGGGUGGUCGCCCACACUGGGAUUGAGAUACGGCCCAGACUCCUACGGGAGGCAGCAGUCGAGAAUAGUCUACAAUGGUCGGAAGACUGAUAGUGCGACGCCGCGUGAACGAUGAAUCCCUUCGGGGUGUAAAGUUCUUUUAUAUGUGAGCAGUGCUUCUUAUAUUAACAGUAUGGGGAGAGAGAUAUUAGCAUAUGAAUAAGCAACGGCUAACUCCGUG
rnacentral:rRNA from 1 species